rnacentral:lncRNA from 1 species
GCAAUGAACUGUGUAGAAGCAUGCUCACUGGAGCCUCUGAUCUCUCUCCUCAAGAACUCAUAACCACCCUCCAAUGCACCUCUGAGCCUGCCAGCCUCCGCAGUAAGGUUUGUGACCUCAAUAGUGCACUCCUGUGGCUGAGGAUGGGCCAAAGCUAAGACUUGCCCCUGCAAGUCAAGAACUCUCCCAGUCAGUCUCAAAAUGCAAUCCUCGAGCUGCUGAAUCCGAACAGACUGAUCUGAGAUCAACUGAAAUAUAGUGGAGAUAUGGGGGAUCAAGGUCUGAUCAGAUGAAUCUAAUGAUGUGGAUCCCGAUGCAAAUGCAGAAGUGCUCCACUGACGAGAAAGCAAGGAAGCCACACGCUGAGAAAUCUGCUCGAUCUGAUCCUCGGCCAAUCUGAACUCUGAAGGAGGUCCUCUGCUAUUUGACUACUGAACUGGUGUGUACCUCCUGGUGGACUC